CUUCAGAUGAUGAAUUUAACUGUUUGACUGCUGAAUGAUACAAACGAACUAAAAUAAUUUUGACAGUU
rfam:Fukomys damarensis contig92952, whole genome shotgun sequence.